GAUGAAGAACGCAGCGAAAUGCGAUAAGCAAUGUGAAUUGCAGAAUUCAGUGAAUCAUCGAAUCUUUGAACGCACAUUGCGCCCGCCAGUAUUCUGGCGGGCAUGCCUGUCUGAGCGUCAUUUCAACCCUCAUGCCCCUAGGGCGUGGUGUUGGGGAUCGGCCAAAGCCCGCGAGGGACGGCCGGCCCCUAAAUCUAGUGGCGGACCCGUCGUGGCCUCCUCUGCGAAGUAGUGAUAUUCCGCAUCGGAGAGCGAUGAGCCCCUGCCGUUAAACCCCCAACUUUCCAAGGUUGACCUCAGAUCAGGUAGGAAUACCCGCUGAACUUAAGCAUAUCAAUAAGCGGAGGA
rnacentral:misc_RNA from 1 species